rnacentral:pre_miRNA from 1 species
AACAAGUGUAGCACUACGUUUAACCAUUUGUCUUAUUUGAAAUCUUUUUAUGAUUAAUUUUUUUUAUUGUUAAUAGAUGAUAAUACAUGAAUAAUACUUUGUGUGUAACAUUUUUUUUAAUUUUUUUCAUAAGUUUUUAAAUAAGUUGGACGGUCAAACGUUGGAUACAGGUACUCAU